rnacentral:tRNA from 1 species
GGGUAUAUAGCUUAAUGGUAGAGCAAUAGGCUUUUAACCUACAGGUUUGGGGUUCGAAUCCCUAUAUACUCA